rnacentral:rRNA from 1 species
CCUACGGGCGGCUGCAGCAAGGAAUUUUCCGCAAUGGGCGCAAGCCUGACGGAGCAACGCCGCGUGGGGGAGGACGCCCUUCGGGGUGUAAACCUCUUUUCUUGGGGACGACGAGCGACGGUACCCGAGGAAGAAGGACCGGCAAACUACGUGCCAGCAGCCGCGGUAAUACGUAGGGUCCGAGCGUUGUCCGGAGUUACUGGGCGUAAAGCGCGCGCAGGCGGCUGCCCAAGCCCGGCGGGAAAGCCCCCGGCUCAAGCGGGGGGGGGCGGCGGGGACUGGGCAGCUUGAGGAGGGCAGGGGUCGGUGGAAUUCCCGGUGUAGUGGUGAAAUGCGUAGAGAUCGGGAGGAACACCCGUGGCGAAGGCGGCCGGCUGGGCCGGACCUGACGCUGAGGCGCGAAGGCGUGGGGAGCGAACGGGAUUAGAUACCCCAGUAGUC